GUAAUGUAAUUUGUCAGGUGACAGGAACCAGGAAGUGAAUGAAGAAUAUGGCUCAGAACUGCUGUUUGUAUUGGUAGUUUUUCAAUCCAGUUGAGUCUGCCUGCAUCCUAUACCUUUUUGAUAGCAUCGUUGUUUUACACUUUCUCUCAUGUCAAUAAACCUGUAGACAAC